GACGAACGCUGGCGGCGUGCUUAACACAUGCAAGUCGAACGAGACGAUUGAAAGCUUGCUUUCGAAAGUCGAGUGGCAAACGGGUGAGUAACGCGUAGACAACCUGCCUUUGAGAUGGGGACAACAGUUCGAAAGGACUGCUAAUACCGAAUGUUGUAUAUUUUCCACAUGGAAGAUAUAUUAAAGAUGGCCUCUAUUUAUAAGCUAUCGCUCAAAGAUGGGUCUGCGUCUGAUUAGCUAGUUGGUGGGGUAACGGCCUACCAAGGCGACGAUCAGUAGCCGGUCUGAGAGGAGGAACGGCCACAUUGGGACUGGGACACGGCCCAGACUCCUACGGGAGGCAGCAGUGGGGAAUCUUCCACAAUGGACGAAAGUCUGAUGGAGCAACGCCGCGUGAGUGAAGAAGGGUUUCGGCUCGUAAAGCUCUGUUGUCGGGGACGAAUGUGCAUUACUUGAAUAAAGUAGUGUAAUGACGGUACCUGACGAGGAAGCCACGGCUAACUACGUGCCAGCCGCCGCGGUAA
rnacentral:rRNA from 1 species